rnacentral:rRNA from 1 species
CGUAGGGUGCGAGCGUUGCCCGGAUUUAUGGGCGUAAAGGGCGCGUAGGCGGCUCGGCACGUCCGUUGUGAAAUCGCCCGGCUCAACUGGGCGGGGUCAGCGGAUACGGCCGAGCUGGAGCAAGCUAGGGGGUAAUGGAAUUCCCGGUGUAGUGGUGGAAUGCGUAGAUAUCGGGAGGAACACCAGUGGCGAAGGCGGUUACCUGGAGCUUUGCCGACGCUGAUGCGCGAAAGCGUGGGGAGCGAUCCGGAUUAGAUACCCGGGUAGUCCACGCCGUAAACGAUGCGGACUAGGUGUCGGGGGUAUCGACCCCCUCGGCGCCGCAGCUAACGCAUUAAGUCCGCCGCCUGGGGACUACGGCCGCAAGGCUA